AGACAAUUUGUAAGAUAUGAAAGAUCCAGGGGCUUCAGAAAGUUGGAAGGUCAAUGAACUGUAAUUGUUUUCUUUUUCAGAAUCUUCUUAGCUGUUCUUGGAAGGCACUCAAAUAUACCAGUCUAGAGUGUCAGUUUGGAAACCAGCUCACCUCCAUCAUUUCCAGAUGCUUGACACUGUAUAUCUGUCUUCAGAAGUGGUCAGAAAAUCAGUAUCUGCCAACAGUUAGAUAUGGCAUGAUGAUGGAGCAAUGAAAAUAGCAACAAUAUGAGAAAAAAGGUAAUAUUUUACUCAUUUUGAAAAGU
rnacentral:lncRNA from 1 species